CUCACACAGACAGAAAAAUUGAUAGCAGAGAAAACUAUGGAUCUCCCGAAAUUAAGUUUGGUCGUAGUGGCAUGUAUUCAAUCACUUUUUUUUUCUUUCUCACUCCAUCUGAGAAUAGCCAUCUCGUCUCGUUGGUUUAAAACCCAAAUCGGAGCGACGAGUUACCAGCAAAACUAAUGGUCAUAACAAGUUCACCUUUGCAUUUAUAAAUCACCGACCAAUGUUACUUGUGUCUUGAAUAAUAGAAAAAGUUGGUCAAAGAUUAUUUCUUGUCCAUGGAUAGUUUUUUGCCGUUGCAUUGUUAACACAUCUAAAUACGAUGCUUUGUUUGACCUCGGUAAUACUUCAUGGUGGUAAUAUUUUAAGGAUUUGUAAUGUAUCACAAAAUCUGGCGUUGCGAACAUUGAACUUGUUAUGUAGUCGUUUGAUGAAUGGAGAGGAUUAAAACAGAAAUGACCUAGCUAACCGACGUGAUCUAUUAAUCGACUUUGAGGAUGAUUUUUAUUUGAUGGUUUCUUGCUAUGUUGUUAGCCAAAAUUUACAGCUAUUAAUCAUAUGACCGGAUGUACUAUAAUCGAUUGAUCUAAUUGGUCAAAUUCGAUACUAAUGUUGAAUCGACAACAGAAGCAGAUGGACAACUAAAAACAUGAUUGAUGUUGCUCAUAACACAUCACUACAUUAUUUCUAAAUAAUUAUGGACCACAAAUGGCCUAUUUUGGACAAUCAUAAUAAAUCCAUAUAAUAAUAUCAACAGGAAAAAUAUUACGGGCUUUUUUUGGGCAUUUACUUGUCAUUGUCGAAAUAAAUGAAACCAUUCAUUAACAAAUCAAUGAUUAACG